CCAUAUAGUAAGGUACAUACUAACUAUCAAAUAAACGAUAAUGGUUCAUUCAAAUUUCUGCCCUAUCAACUUUCGACGGCUGGGUCUUGGCCAGCCGUGGUGACAACGGGUAACGGAGGGUUAGGGCUCGACCCCGGAGAAGGAGCCUGAGAAACGGCUACUACAUCCAAGGAAGGCAGCAGG
rnacentral:ncRNA from 1 species